CCCUUAGACGUUCUGGGCCGCACGCGCGCUACACUGACGAAGGCAACGAGCUUUCCUUUACCGAAAGGUACGGGUAAUCUUUUGAAACUUCGUCGUGCUGGGGAUAGAUCCUUACAAUUUUUGAUCUUAAACGAGGAAUUCCUAGUAAGCGCAAGUCAUCAACUUGCGUUGAUUACGUCCCUGCCCUUUGUACACACCGCCCGUCGCUACUACCGAUUGAAUGGUUUAGUGAGGCCUUCGGAUCCGCGACUCGUUUUGUGGAGAAGUUGGACAAACUCAGUCAUUUAGAGGAAGUAAAAGUCGUAACA
rnacentral:rRNA from 1 species